CUACGGGUUGCAGCAGUGGGGAAUAUUGCACAAUGGGCGCAAGCCUGAUGCAGCAACGCCGCGUGAGGGAUGAAGGCCUUCGGGUUGUAAACCUCUUUUAGCAGGGAAGAAGCGAAAGUGACGGUACCUGCAGAAAAAGCACCGGCUAACUACGUGCCAGCAGCCGCGGUAAUACGUAGGGUGCAAGCGUUGUCCGGAAUUAUUGGGCGUAAAGAGCUCGUAGGCGGUUUGUCACGUCUGCUGUGAAAAUCCAAGGCUCAACCUUGGACUUGCAGUGGGUACGGGCAGGCUAGAGUGCGGUAGGGGAGAUGGGAAUUCCUGGUGUAGCGGUGGUAUGCGCAGAUAUCAGGAGGAACACCAAUGGCGAAGGCACAUCUCUGGGCCGUAACUGACGCUGAGGAGCGAAAGCGUGGGGAGCGAACAGGAUUAGAUACCCUCGUAGUC
rnacentral:rRNA from 1 species